GGGGGAAAACCUGAUUAUUGCACUGUAUUCAAAGUCAAUGAAAUGGAGGGAAAUAUUUGCCCAUCCCCGAUGAAGCCUGUUGAAAGGGGUACUCCGGUGCGCCGGCAUUCUGAACAUUUUGUGGUGGUCUGACAAAGCCCGCAUGCGCGGGUGAAACAGCUGUCACACCUUCAGACAUCUGCAGCGUUCUGCACCCACUCCCGUCACCGGCUGCGAGGAUUUUGUGUUACCCACAGUAAUAAAUCAAGCUUUACUACAAGAUGUGAGGAGACAGGAGCAGAGAAAGAAGAGAGAAGCUCCGCCCACAGUCUGUCCCAGCCGAAACUCCAGCCUGUGAGGGGAGGUAUGGGGCCUUACUAUCACUUUGUGUAUACACUAUUUGAAACAUCCUGGAUGAACACAGAAUGGGGGACUCCCUAGAAGAUCACUAUAUCAGACCAUUGUCACUGUCGUUUUUUCUUCUCUUUUAAAAAAAUGUUUUUUCUCUGUUCACAUUAUGGUGAUCAUAGGGUCCGGAUUUCUGUAUCCCGAUAGAAGCGUUAGGCUAGG